AAGUCGUAACAAGGUAACCGUAGGUGAACCUGCGGUUGGAUCAUUAAAAAAUCUAAACCCAAGGGGGAGAGGGGCUUAACAGCCUCUUUCUUUCCUUAACAACACCUUGCGAACUAUUGAACACUUUUUUGGCGGAUGACUAGUGGAAACACUAUCGCCGCCAAACAAACAAACACCUUUAUAUUUUGGAACUGACUUUUUUCAUUAAACUAAUGGAAGAAAACAACUUUUAACAACGGAUCUCUUGGCUCUC
rnacentral:misc_RNA from 1 species